UGAAAUACUGUUGUUCACUCCCAAAGCAGGGACGUGACAGCAGCAAAUGGUGACCUCAUUGCCUCAAUACUUCUUUGUGAUCUUUUUCUCCAAAGGUCGGUCAGUGUUCUCCAAUGUGGUAUUCAGGAUUGCACUGUAUCAAAUAGCUCCUGGAACAUCCUUCCCAAACAGUUCCUUUUGGGAGCAGGAUCACCGUGCUCGUUCUGAAGCUGUGCCAGUGCCUGAAGUACGUGGGGACUACAGAUGAGAUCUUUGUUACAGAAGCAUGGGUUCGAUUCACCAUUCCUGGCUAUGUAGUUUGGAAGUGGCCUGUGGGGCUGAAGAAGAUUUGUGUCAAGGUGAUUCACCAGUGUAGCAAACCACUGCAGUACCUGACGAGGGAUGUGGUGAUUCUCUGUCAUGAGGAGACCGGGGCAAGCCAUAGUUUUUAAACCAAUAACAACCACAAACUGAGACCACAGGGCUGUGCAGGAACUUCUGUAUGAACUUCUCUGACCUGGGUCAGAUUAUCAGAUCACGGUAUCAUGGCAGCCUCUCGGGCCUUAAAACCUGUAUGAUUACAAAUCUGUGAAUUUCAGUCAUUGUCUGGAUUUACUCUUCACCUGCUGAUGAAGUCAUCCAGACCUGGUGAGCUCUGAAUGCACGGGCUGCCACAGCCAGACUUCAGUGUGGGUCUUUGCCUGUGCUCUACCAUUUCAGAUGUGGAGGAAUGGAAGACGGGAUGAAUUCAAGUUCACCUGGAAGUAUUUUACAAGCUAGCAAACCUAUAUUACAGCAGCAACACGUGCAGAGUCUCACUGAAACUGCAAGGCAGGUGAUUCCUGGAAGUAAUAGUCUCCUAGAAGUGAAUUUCCAUAUGGUUUUCUAAUUUCAUCAGAUGAGCUGCAACCACAACUUGUUGAUGACUAAACUGCACAGCUGGAUGAAUUUUGGUGGAAAAGCACUGAGGCAACAUAAUGAACCCAUUUUAUAUCUGCUGCUGUGACUUUUCUAAGAAGAUUUAUCCUAAGGUGGCAGUUCAUUUUUCUGAAUGCCUGCAGCCUUCGAGGAGACUCUCAAGUCAUUGCAAACUUGGACACAGUGCGUGUGGAGGAGGUUGACCUUGCAAAAUUCUUGUUUUGUUUUUGAACAAUUAGAACUAACUUCAAGCCCAGUUGAGACUUCCAGACUUUGAGGCUCCAGAGUUUGGACUGGAUCCAGGGCCCAGUGAAGUCACCUGGAGAUUUUCCAUUGACUUCACUAUGCUUUGGACUAGGCACUUUGUAAGGUUAUUCCCAUGAAUUCAAAUGCCUAAAGCCAAACAUGGCUUUACACAAUUGAAAAUCACCUGCUUUGUAUGUUUUCAAAGGCAGCUCCACCACUCAGCAGUAACAAUACAGAAUUGGGUUGAAAGGGUGAAAACAAAUGUGGAUAUGGAGUGAUUCUUCAAAAACCCCGUAGCAAUGCUCCAACUCUGCAGCACUAAAAAUCAGAUUUUUAAUGCAGAUUUUUUAUGAUCAUUCCUGAAGUUAAUUUAAAGGAAAAAAAACCCCAACAUGUUAAUAUUGCAGAACUAGAGGUCUCUUCCUGUUUUAGGUAUUUGAACAAUACUCACUGCAUUCUUUGAAAUGAGAAAUACCUAAUGCUUCAGGGUAUUCCUUUUGUUGAAUCAGUUCUACUAGUAUUUUAAACAAAAUUUCUUGAUACCAACUCCAGUGAUCAUAGAAUAACACUAUCAGAGAAUGGUUUGGAAGGGACCUUGAAGAUCAUCAAGUUCUAACCCACCUGCCGUGGGCAGGGACACCUUCUACUGGAUCAGGUUGCUCAAAGCCCAUCCAACUUGGCAAUGAACACCUCCAGGGAUGGGGUAUUCGUGAUGUCUCUGGGCAACCUGUAACAGUGCCUAACCACCCUCAAAAUAAAAAAUUUCUUCCUAAGAUCUAAUCCAAACCUACCCUGUUUCAGCUUAAAACCAUUACCCAUCAUCCUAUCUCUGCAAUUCCUGGUAAAGAGCCCAUCCCCCGCUCUCCUUUAGGCCCCCUUUCAGUCCCGGAAGGCUGCUAUAGGGUCUCACCAGAGCCUUCUCUUCUCCAGGCUGAACAAGCCCAACUCUCUCAGCCUGUCCUUGUAUGGGAGGUUCUCCAGACCUCUGAUCAUCUUCAUGGCCCUCCUCUGGACUCAUUCUAACAGAUCCAUGUCCUUCCUGUGCUGAGGACUCCAGAACUAAACACAGUGCUCCAGGCGAGGUCUCAUGAGAGCAGAUUAGAGGGGCAGAAUCACCUUCCUCAACCUGCUGGUCACACUUCUUUUGAUGCAGCCCAGAAUACGUUUGGCUUUUGUUGAGGUUCUCAUCCAUCAGCACCCCCAAAUCCCCAAUUCAUUCUCUACCGAGCCUGUUUUAGUGCUUGGGAGUGCCCUGACCCAGGUGCAGGACCUUGCACGUGGCUUUAUUGAACUUCAUGUAUUUCACACACAUCAACAUCUCAAGGCUGUCAAGAUCCCUUUGGAUGGCAUCCCUUGCCUCCAGCAUGUUGACCACACCACUCAUUUUGGUGUCAAACUUGUUGAGGGUGCGCUCAAUCCCAUUGUUCAUGUGUGUCAUAAAGAUGUUAUACAACACUAAUCCCAAUACUGACCUCUGCGAACACCACUCAUCACUGAUCUACUCUUGGACACUGAGCAGUUGACCGCAACUCUUUGAGUGCAACCAUCCCGCCAAUUCCUUAUCCAGCAAGUGGUCCAUUCGUCAAAUCCAUUAUCUCCAAUUUAGAGAUGAAAGUGUUGUGUGAGACAUUAUUGAUAGUCUGGAAUUGAUCUAUACCAAGAGCCCCUUUUCAUUAACUCACACCUGGAGUGGUUUGCCCAUUGCAUGAAGAUUCAGUACUUUGGAGAUGAGCCAUUCUUCACAGCUUCGCAUCUACCAAUAGUCUAGUUCCAAAG